rnacentral:rRNA from 1 species
GACGAACGCUGGCGGCGUGCUUAACACAUGCAAGUCGAACGGAAAGGCCCUGCUUUUGUGGGGUGCUCGAGUGGCGAACGAGUGAGUAACACGUGAGUAACCUGCCCUUGACUUUGGGAUAACUUCAGGAAACUGGGGCUAAUACCGGAUAUGAGCUCCUGCUGCAUGGUGGGGGUUGGAAAGUUUCGGCGGUUGGGGAUGGACUCGCGGCUUAUCAGCUUGUUGGUGGGGUAGUGGCUUACCAAGGCUUUGACGGGUAGCCGGCCUGAGAGGGUGACCGGCCACAUUGGGACUGAGAUACGGCCCAGACUCCUACGGGAGGCAGCAGUGGGGAAUAUUGCACAAUGGGCGGAAGCCUGAUGCAGCAACGCCGCGUGCGGGAUGACGGCCUUCGGGUUGUAAACCGCUUUCGCCUGUGACGAAGCGUGAGUGACGGUAAUGGGUAAAGAAGCACCGGCUAACUACGUG